rnacentral:rRNA from 1 species
GAUGAACGCUGACGGCGUGCCUAAUACAUGCAAGUCGAGCGAACGGACGAGAAGCUUGCUUCUCUGAUGUUAGCGGCGGACGGGUGAGUAACACGUGGAUAACCUACCUAUAAGACUGGGAUAACUUCGGGAAACCGGAGCUAAUACCGGAUAAUAUUUUGAACCGCAUGGUUCAAAAGUGAAAGACGGUCUUGCUGUCACUUAUAGAUGGAUCCGCGCUGCAUUAGCUAGUUGGUAAGGUAACGGCUUACCAAGGCAACGAUGCAUAGCCGACCUGAGAGGGUGAUCGGCCACACUGGAACUGAGACACGGUCCAGACUCCUACGGGAGGCAGCAGUAGGGAAUCUUCCGCAAUGGGCGAAAGCCUGACGGAGCAACGCCGCGUGAGUGAUGAAGGUCUUCGGAUCGUAAAACUCUGUUAUUAGGGAAGAACAUAUGUGUAAGUAACUGUGCACAUCUUGACGGUACCUAAGCAGAAAGCCACGGCUAACUACAU